rnacentral:lncRNA from 10 species
UUUUCAUUUCCCAGAUACAGCUGAUCGAGUUCGCCGAGUGGCCGAGCGAGUGAGCGCUCCUCCGACUUGGGUGGAGGAAGGACAGAAGAGCUCCUUGGCACUGGAUGCCUCCGGGUCUGGUUGAGAGAGGAAUGGUUAGGAGACUGUUCUGAGGAUACGCAGACAUCAUCCAAAGCUUCCUACAUUCAGAUGAGGACAGAGGUUGGGCCAGAGCUUUGUAAGCUUGUUACCUAAGGAUGGUUCUGACCAUGUAAGCAGAUCACAGAAGCACUGUUCACAAUAGCAAAGACUUGGAACCAAUCCAAAUGCCCAUCAAUGAACACCUGGAUAAAGAAAAUGUGGCACAUACACAGCAUGGAAUACUAUGCAGCCAUAAAUAAGGAUGAAUUCAUGUCCUUUGCAGGGACAUGGAUGAAGCUGGAAAACAUCAUUCUCAGCAAACUAAGCUGGAGGCAAAGGAUGCCAAGAUGGGAAAGCCACAUAAUGGAAGGAUCCUGGAUUUCAGAGCUGUCACUUGGAGGAGGGGCACCCAGUGAAGGUGUCUUAUCUAACCCACACCAUAUCUUCAUGAAGUGGCCAUAUGGAUUUGAUCCCUAUCCUUCAGAGGUGCUCAGCCUAAGGGAACACGGAUAGUAGAUUAAGCACUGACCAGGCAUGAAGAAACUGAAGCAUGGAGGAAAAACUUAGCAACUAGCCCAACGUCACACAGGCAAGCCAGCCUUGACAAUGUGCUGAUGGCAACC